rnacentral:rRNA from 1 species
AACGAACGCUGGCGGCAGGCUUAACACAUGCAAGUCGAACGCCCCGCAAGGGGAGUGGCAGACGGGUGAGUAACGCGUGGGAACGUGCCCUUCGCUUCGGAAUAGCCCCGGGAAACUGGGAGUAAUACCGGAUACGCCGUAUUGGGAAAGAUUUAUCGGCGAAGGAUCGGCCCGCGUUGGAUUAGCUAGUUGGAGGUGUAAUGGACCCCCAAGGCUACGAUCCAUAGCUGGUCUGAGAGGAUGAUCAGCCACACUGGGACUGAGACACGGCCCAGACUCCUACGGGAGGCAGCAGUGGGGAAUCUUGGACAAUGGGCGCAAGCCUGAUCCAGCCAUGCCGCGUGGGUGAAGAAGGCCUUAGGGUUGUAAAACUCUUUCGCCGGAGAAGAUAAUGACGGUAUCCGGAGAAGAAGCCCCGGCUAACUUCGUGCCAGCCGCCGCCCGUAACAC